rnacentral:rRNA from 1 species
UACGGGGGGUGCAAGCGUUGUUCGGAUUCAUUGGGCGUAAAGGGUGCGUAGGUGGCGGGGCAAGUCAGGUGUGAAAUCUCGAGGCUCAACCUCGAAACUGCACUUGAUACUGCCUUGCUCGAGUACUGGAGAGGAGACUGGAAUUUACGGUGUAGCAGUGAAAUGCGUAGAUAUCGUAAGGAAGACCGGUGGCGAAGGCUAGUCUCUGGACAGUUACUGACACUGAGGCACGAAGGCCAGGGGAGCAAACGGG